rnacentral:rRNA from 1 species
CCUACGGGAGGCAGCAGUGGGGAAUAUUGGGCAAUGGGCGCAAGCCUGACCCAGCAACGCCGCGUGAAGGAAGAAGGCUUUCGGGUUGUAAACUUCUUUUAAGAGGGAAGAGAAGAAGACGGUACCUCUUGAAUAAGCCACGGCUAACUACGUGCCAGCAGCCGCGGUAAUACGUAGGUGGCAAGCGUUGUCCGGAUUUACUGGGUGUAAAGGGCGUGCAGCCGGGCUGACAAGUCAGAUGUGAAAUCCCGCGGCUCAACCGCGGAACUGCAUUUGAAACUGUCAGUCUUGAGUACCGGAGAGGU